UCUAGUUCCUUGACGUGCAAACUGCAAUAAAGAAGUGCAGCAGUGACAGCAGGCCUUGCAAUACUCUUGGUGUCCCUAUAGUCCGAGACCUGUGGAUCAAUGUCCUGACAUGAAUGGUUAACUGAGGCUAUUAUGGACACAGAGCAUGCAGUCAUGGAGCAGCAGCAGGCCUGCAUCGUGAGGAACCUACUGAACAAAUUGGAGAGACAAGACAAUGAGGACAAGGAGUUUGUGAGGUUGAGAAACCAGUCAAUUAAAUACCGUGAUGACAAGACCUACAUGAGCAAUUCAGCAGAAACUCAGGAAAACAUCAAGAAGAACAGAUACAAGGACAUCCUUCCAUUUGACCACAGCAGAGUGAAGCUCACGUUGACCACCUCCAAAGACGACACUGACUACAUUAAUGCCAGUUUCAUAAAGGGAGUGACAGGCACCAAUGCUUACAUUGCUACUCAGGGUCCACUACAUCACACCGUUCUGGACUUCUUGAGGAUGCUGUGGGAGUAUGACAUAAAAGUUGUAGUCAUGGCCUGCCGAGAAUUUGAGAUGGGAAAGAAAAAAUGUGAGCGUUAUUGGCCGCAUAAGGAGGAGAAGUCAAAGGCAUGUGGGCCCUUCAUUGUGGACUGUAAUUGUGAGGAAGACAAAGGAGCCUAUCUGACGAGGACAUUAAGAUUGACAUAUGACAAUCAACACCGAACAUUGAAACAGUUGCACUAUGUUAAGUGGCCAGAUCAUGGAGUGCCAGAUUGUAUUCUCUCCAUUUUGGACUUGUUGGAGGAGAUGCGUACCUAUCAGUCCCAUGAUGACAUCCCAUUGUGCAUCCACUGCAGUGCUGGAUGUGGUCGAACGGGUGUCCUAUGCAUCAUCGAUUAUACUUGGAACCUCCUCAAGAAAGAGACAAUCACCCCAGAUUUUAAUAUAUGUGACGUGGUUCAUACCAUGAGAACCCAAAGGCCAUCUAUGGUUCAAACCAAGGAACAGUAUGAAUUAGUCUAUAGAGUCAUCAGGUUACUGUUUGAGAGAUACUUGCAAUCCAUGGAUGAACAGAGCAGCAAAAAUCAGCUGACCAGGGGAGCAUCUAUGAGGGAGCAACAACUUGGAAGUCAGCAGCUACAAUGCCAACGCAUCUGUGAUGAGGAAAUGAACAACCUACCACAGAAACAGAAAUUGGGUCCUUCUGUUCCAGAAGGUCAUCUUAAAGAUAGAAACAAUCAGCCGGAUCAACCACAACUACUUCACGGAGCCGUAACGUCCCGUCAGGAGGAAACUUUACAGAAUGGGGUUCACACUGGCCAAGAAGUGGCUGCAGUGGAGAACAUAUGGCAGGGUGACUACAUUCCAUCACCGAAGUCUCCACCUUCACCCACUGCAGCAGCAGCCUCCAUCUGUCGGUUGGUGGAGGACCCCUACUUUGACAGCCCCCCGUUUGACAAUGCAGCACCAUUGAGAAAGCCAUGGACAGUUGGUCAAAUCUUCAGUAAUCCUUCAUCAUCUCUGAAUGACCACACACUGCAGUCUGAGUCAAGUGUCACCUCUGGAGCUCAUACUGACGUAGAUGUACCUCCGCCUCUGCCCGAACGAACCCCUGAGUCCUAUCAGCUAUUUGUUGACACUGGAAGCUGCACGGAGCCCAACCCAGAUGACUUGGAACACUCAAAUUCCUCAGAAAGGCUAACUAUCACCAUUCCACCGAGCGGGGUUGCCGAGGCUGUGCCGAGUGACCCAAGGGAAAGUCCCGUUACGCCUGCACCGUCACUUCCAGACAGAACUCCAGAAUCAUACCAGUUGGCUUCUCAUCAAGCUCCUGUUGCCAGUCAACCAGAGGUCACACCGGCAGCAAACCUGAAUAGAAUUGGCACAUCCUCAGAGUGGUCAGGUACUUCAGAGCGAGUUGCCGAUUCAUUAGAGCGAGAAACAAAGCCCUGGGUGAGAAGUAAGGUAAUAAAAAUGACUUUCACAGGUAAGAUUGUUGUCAAGGUCAGUGAGAGUAAAGAGGAUAAAAAUGAUCAAAUGGAACACUCAGCAUGAAGUCGGUUCCCACUCGGAGACAAUAUUAUGAAUAAUCCCCAUGAAUGACACACAACCCCUUUAUGGUGCAGUCCAUCUUUCAUCCAAAAUGGAUGAAUGGAUGCAACCAGAAGAUGAGCAAAAAUCUGCUCAUAUAAUAAAUGAAAUAAUAAUUUGGAAUGGUAAAGACAUUAUCAAUGCAACUUUAACUCAACAUUUUUGUCAUUGAGUGUGCAAUUGUGUAUCCAAUAAUAAACAGAUCACUAACCGAAAUGUUUUGAAUAAGGGUAACCCCUGAAAUGAUUCAUAUCUUACGCAAUCUAUUAAUACCCAUCAUCUAUAGGUUUUUCUCGUUGCAUUUCUCAUACAGAGCCACUGACUCCAGCGUUGCUGUCACAUACACCUAUUGAGGGAGGAAGUGGUGAGUAGCUUCAGCCUUUAAAGGAGCUGCACACCAGAGAAGCGAGUUGCCAUGCACCUGGUUAGAAAACCUCCAUGUUACAAUUCUAUCAGCUCUGUUUUUCACUCAUCAGCACAAGUUGCAGAGUGCGAUGUGAACCAAAAGGCCUUGCUCGCCGAUGGUGUGAUGUCAGGAGAUAAAUCAGAAAAGAGCAAUGAGAAGGGCUCAUCCUGCAAAAAGAAAUUGUUCAGAGACAAGCAAAAAACAAAGCCAGCGACUCCGG